CUGCGCACAGCGCGGCACGAGGGGGGGAGGUGGGCUUUAAGGGCAUGUGGGGUUUUAACGGCACGUGGGGCAGCAGCGCCGGUCCUGUUUGACUCAGAGGCCACCGCACCCGACAGAGCACCUGGAAAUUCAUUUGUCACCGGAGGAGAAAGGAAGGAAGCAAGUGAGGUUCCUGCUUUGCACCCAUGAGAAACAAAUCGCACCCAGGAAGGCAUCCCCUCGUUGGGCCGCUUCUGCAGGUGCUGCCAAAGCCUUUCAGCUCAGCCUGAGCUCCCACAGCCCCACCUGAGGACUCAGUGGCCAACCCUGCAUUACCACAGCUGGAUGUCCGAUGGAAAAAUCCCGGCAUUCAUCUGCCUCACCACGUGUGUGAGGCUGAAUUCAUCAGCAGUUUCCAUUGAGGAGGGGUUUCCUCUUUCUCAUGGGAUCCAAUGGGGCUCAAAUGUCCACCUGGGCUUCCAGCCUUGGCCAGGAGGUGUGAAUCGCCGAUGGGUUCACCGCGGGGAUCCCCGUGCGUGGCAGUGGCUGAGGUCUGGGCUGGGGAUGUGGACAACUGUGCUUCAGCAGAGGGCGGCCAAUGGCUCUGCAGUGCUGCUCCUGCUGUGCUCAGCGUCUGCUGCCCAUUCCCCUUUGGCUGGAGGGGAGCAGAGCCCUGGAGCUGAGCAUACAGGCACCUCCGCGUGCCUCGGUCCGCAUAGCACGACCCAGAGGUGCAUCUUUGGGGUGCUUAGAAGAGGUUGCUGCAGGAAAACCCCUGUAAGAACCACUGAAGCCGCUGCCCGGGGGGACAGAUAAAGGCCCCUGGAAAGGCAGAGGGGUGAGAUGGGGGCAGGGGGGCUGCCGGAGGGCGUGCGGAGAGGAGAGCCUGAAGUGCUGUCCGCACCUCCGCUGCAGGGCGCUGUGCCGCACCGCCUCGAGCGCUGCUUUGGGAUAAACGGGCAGGUUUGGUCUCGUGGGGAGGGGCUGAGAUGGUACACAUUCCUCACAUCCUCGGUGAUGUAAAACCCAGCACGGGGGGCUGUGGGCUGAGCAGCAGCCACAGUAAACCCGCAUCUACGUGAAAGACCCAAACGUGGCGCAUUUUGGUGUUAUUUAACCGAGAUUUUUGCAUCUUGGGGGAGGAGGGAAUGGGGAGUGAGCGGCAGCCGGGGUGCUGCUUCUGUUCAGAAACCUUCCAAGCGCUGUAAGGAGAAUUUAUAGUUCAGUGCUGUGGGGGGAAAUGCAUUAUUCAUUUUUCUGACUUUGGAA